AACGACUCUCGGCAACGGAUAUCUCGGCUCUCGCAUCGAUGAAGAACGUAGCGAAAUGCGAUACUUGGUGUGAAUUGCAGAAUCCCGUGAACCAUCGAGUCUUUGAACGCAAGUUGCGCCCGAGGCUUUUGGCUGAGGGCACGUCUGCCUGGGCG
rnacentral:rRNA from 2 species